AAGACCCUCCCCAAUCGCAAGGCUGAGGAAGGACAGGGUUGGUUCUCUGAGCACUGGUGCCAGAAGGAAGAAUGAAUGAUACGUAGCAAGACAACAGGUAUCCCCUAAGGGUGAGUCCUCCCUCACUACUCAGUCCUAUCCUACCUGAGCCAAAUACACCUUUGAAGACAAUCAUGGCCUUUACGUGCCCAGAGUGGAGCGUGACCAGAUGAUUACGUUCAAGCAAUAACAGAAGAAAAUAAAACAUUCUUACUGUUUAAACAGGAUCUAGUAAAUGUACUUUUUCUCCAGGGGACAAGCUGAAGAGAUCAGCAACCACUCUGAAUACGGAAAGGUAGCCCAGUGUGGCUGUCAUUGGAAAUGCGAGUAGGAGGAGAUCUUGAAGGGAGCAUCCUAACCCUAGGAAAAAGGAAGGAGAGCGUGGCUGCCAUGCAUGGUCAAUUUGUGGGCGCGAAGAGGUUAGAAGAAAAGCAUCUGAAGCCCCUUUUCUCCUCUUACGAAACUCCUAUCAUCUGAGAUAUGGACUCUGUGCUGACGGAGCGUGUGGCAGCACACAAUGCAGGUGGCAGGAAUACCCCUGGUCUGAUCUCUGGUUUAUUCCAAUGUUUGAAACACAGUGGGCCUCAGAG
rnacentral:lncRNA from 1 species